CAGUCGCCGCGGUAAUACGAAGGGUGCAAGCGUUACUCGGAAUUACUGGGCGUAAAGCGUGCGUAGGCGGUGAGUUAAGUCUGCUGUGAAAUCCCCGGGCUCAACCUGGGAAUGGCAGUGGAUACUGGCUCGCUAGAGUGUGUCAGAGGAUGGUGGAAUUCCCGGUGUAGCGGUGAAAUGCGUAGAGAUCGGGAGGAACAUCAGUGGCGAAGGCGGCCAUCUGGGACAACACUGACGCUGAGGCACGAAAGCGUGGGGAGCAAACAGGAUUAGAUACCCCAGUAGUCCCUGUCUCUUAUAC
rnacentral:rRNA from 1 species